GAAGCUGACCAGACAGUCGCCGCUUCGUCGUCGUCCUCUUCGGGGGAGACGGGCGGAGGGGAGGAAAGUCCGGGCUCCAUAGGGCAGGGUGCCAGGUAACGCCUGGGGGGGGAAACCCACGACCAGUGCAACAGAGAGCAAACCGCCGAUGGCCCGCGCAAGCGGGAUCAGGUAAGGGUGAAAGGGUGCGGUAAGAGCGCACCGCGCGGCUGGUAACAGUCCGUGGCACGGUAAACUCCACCCGGAGCAAGGCCAAAUAGGGGUUCAUAAGGUACGGCCCGUACUGAACCCGGGUAGGCUGCUUGAGCCAGUGAGCGAUUGCUGGCCUAGAUGAAUGACUGUCCACGACAGAACCCGGCUUAUCGGUCAGUUUCACCU
rnacentral:RNase_P_RNA from 4 species